AUUGAACGCUGGCGGCAGGCCUAACACAUGCAAGUCGAACGAGUGGCGGACGGGUGAGUAAUGUCUGGGAAACUGCCUGAUGGAGGGGGAUAACUACUGGAAACGGUAGCUAAUACCGCAUACCAUCGGAUGUGCCCCGAUGGGAUUAGCUUGUAGGUGGGGUAACGGCUCACCUAGGCGACGAUCCCUAGCUGGUCUUAGAGGAUGACCAGGCACACUGGAACUGAGACACGGUCCAGACUCCUACGGGAGGCAGCAGUGGGGAAUAUUGCACAAUGGGCGCAAGCCUGAUGCAGCCAUGCCGCGUGUAUGAAGAAGGCCUUCGGGUUGUAAAGUACUUUCAGCGGGGAGGCGUUACCCGCAGAAGAAACACCGGCUAACUCCGUGCCAGCAGCCGCGGUAAUUC
rnacentral:rRNA from 1 species